AGUUAUACCAUUGUAAAAACUUACGAGAAACCCUUUCAAUUCUGGGUUUGGAAUAUUGACAUUCCCACCCCACUGACUGGCGUGCGCCCCUGUGGAGGGUCACGGAAACUCCUUCCUCAAGACGGGAAGGGGUGGGGGGUGACCGGCAGCUCCUUACCGACGAGCCCCGCAAGUGGGGCCUGGUGGACUGCAGCCAGGCAGGUCCGGGUUGGAGGGCAGACUGUUUGCUUUUUUAUGGAAGGCUGGGCUCCUGCCCUCCGGUGGGUGGGGGCUGGCAUUGGCAUUAAUAAUAAAACACCUGAGAGAGAAAGUCACACAUGAAAAUUCUCCCUCAGGGCAAAGAGUGGCCAUAGAUCUGUGUACACAGUGGGUGGCAACUGUUAGUUUUCAAAGCAGGAGCAUAGGAUUUGAGUCACAAGCCAACCCUGAACUGGAGCUCCCUCAGCCAUCCAAACCCCUGUGAAGGGCCUUCCACCGCCUGUGAUGAGAAGGAAGGGCCAGCGCGGCCUCUCCCACGGACCUGGGCUUUCACCCAGGCAGCUCUCCCUUAAGGUGCACUUGGGACAGUGGAGCCUGUGGGUGGGCAGGGCAGACCCAGCAGUGCCACACUGCUCUGGGGCUUCCUGGGAGGCCUGGGGGACAAGGGCCUUGAGUAGAAACAUUGGGAAGCAUGGUUAGAGACAGACGGUCUCCACCAUAAGAGUUACUGUUUAUCAGCCGCCAGGUGGGCCAGGCGCUUACACGCUUCCUCUCACUCAAACUAAGCAACUGUGGACAGUGGGCUAUAUCACCCCCAGCUCACAAGAGGGGGCACUGCCACUCCAAGGUGUUAGGGAACGUGUCCCACAGCAGGUGGAUGUCGGCCCCUCGCCCUGAGCUUCGGGAAGAAUUGGAGGGCAACACAUUUCUUUCGGCUUUUCCUUCACCAAUAUUUUUAGAUUAUUUCCACAUAAGUGCUUUACUUGGUUUUGAAAGAAAAUACUCUGAGUGUCCAUACUUUAUAGGGGUGUAGAGCAGUGAUGUGCCCCCAGGAGGUAGGAGCAGCCCCCGUGUCCGUUCUGGAAGGCCGUUGGCUUUCUGUCCAUGCACAUGGCGGGUAGUGAGCUCGCCUUCCUUGCUUGGAAGGUGACGGCUGCUGUGCCUCUAUUUCUCUAACUCUGUGUGAUAACCUUGGGAUGUGACAUUUUGUAGUUGGAGUUCAAAGCUAAACAAAUUAGCUCAAAUCCUCAAACCCUGUUGUCACCACAUCAGACAGUGACCUUGAUGGAGUCCCUUGAUGUGAACUCCAGGGGCAGCUUGCACGACCCAGGAAGGAUACCCAAGGGUAUGAAGGUGACCUUUGGCUGUGAGCCCCAGCGCGGAAGGCGUGUUCUGCCGACUGUCUAACCUGAGCCCUGGGCAGCCUUUGAUCCAGGGCAGACCCCCCGCCCCAGAUUCUCCCGGUCCCUCUGCUGCCCCUCCUGACUCACCUCUGUCCUCUCUGGUCUCCCUCUUGGGCUCUGCUUCUCUGCUCCUCAGUCUCUUAGUAUUGUAGACGUAGGGUGCAGUCCUUGGUCCUCCCCUGUGCCUGGUGGAGUCUCCCCAGAAUUAAGGCCGGAAGGAUCAUGUCAGUUCAGAGUACCAGCUUGGCCCUCUUCUCGGCUCCUGGCACCAUGAUUUUUCCUCCAGACAGUCCUCUGGGAUUUCUAAUGGGCACCUCGGAUCCUUCCCUAGUCUUCCCCAGUCUUCCCCAGUCCUCUACCUGCUGUCUUCACCCCUGGUUAAUGUCCCAUGCAUCCUGCUGGCUAUUCAGAUCACGAUUUGGGAGGCAUCCGUGAACCUUCUUUCCCUCACACCUUAUACCCACAUCCAGUCGUCAGGAAUCCCUUGGGCUCUACUUUCAAAAUUUACCAGAAACCAGCCACCCACGUCUUAUGCCUGACUGCCACCUGCUCUGAGCCACUAGCAUCUCCACCUGCCCCAUGCUCCCAGCUGGUCUCCUGACCCCUGGCAUGCUCUGCCCAGCUGCCACAGUGACCCUGUCAAAAUAUGCCACAUGCUGCUCCUCUGUUCAAACCCCUGCAUUGUUCCCACUGACAUGUGUCUCACAGUGGCCUGCGCCACUCCGUGAAGCCCCUCUCAGCAGUGUGGCGGGGCCUCCCAUCAGGGCCCUGAUGCCUCCCCACUACCUGUUUCCUUGGGCGCCCAGAGCAGCUCCCUCAACUCCUGGCCACUCAGGGCCCUUCAUUCCUCACCACCAGCUUGGCCGGCGGCCCUUCCACAGCUUCCUACCUCCCUUUCCCCACCACUGGAAUCAAAUAUGUCACCACAGGACUAUUUCACAACACUAAGGUGACAGCAUCACAGGGCCCAGCAGUGGUAUCCUGAUGGGCUUCACCAGCAGCUCUUCGAAGCUCUGCCUGAAUCAAACUUUUUUUAAUUUGGCUGGAAUAUUUUGAAAAAAAUAAAAGGAAAGAAAGGCCUGGACUGGAUCAUCUGCUGUGUGCGUUGCUCCCCUUGGGCCAAUGAAUCCCUCUUUGUUUGCUGCUACAAGACGCGGCUUCUAUCUUCACAUUUGCGAAUGCCUGUCAAGAACGGUACCAGUUUGUCCCAUGGAAGCUGAUACAUGGCAAGCACAAUGGCUCUGCUGUCCCUGAAGUAGCCCUGGGGACGAAGCUGCUGCCUCAAAGUGGCAGAAUGUGGCCCGGCUGGACCUCCUCAUGACCCGGAAAAGGAGGCUUUUGGGAUGAUCUUCCUGAAGAACAAAUGAGAGCAGCCACGUGAUGUGGUGGUUUAAGGUCAUCCUCACCGCUUUCCUCCCUGAAGCCCUGGUGCAGAAUUUCAGCAAUAUGACCUCUUUUACUGCACAGGGGCCACAAUCCUGUCUACAUCCAGAGCCUUGGAGCCCCUGCGCUGUGAGCUCCCGCGGAGGCAUGGGGGCCCUGGGUGGAGCCAUGUGGACCCCACAGGGGUGGCUGCAGAGCUGAGGGCGAGGACCAGGAGUGGACGCUGCUGGACCAGAGGUGCCCCCAGGGGUAGGGAGGAGUGGAGGAGGGAAGGCUGGGAAGUUAUGAGGGAGCUUCAGCAAGUCUUGGGGAGGCUAUGUUGACAGUGAGUGUGGUUGCCCUGCUCUCCUGAUUCUUGCUGACAGAGGAGGGCCUGCAUGGCCCCAGGGCCACUGAGCUCACGUGGAUAUGGAAGGAGACCCGGAAGGCCAAGUUCUGUGCCUGGACGCACUUCCAGUCUGUGUUCUUCCAGCUGAACCCUGGAUGCUUGGCUGCAGGAAACAGUUCUGUCCCCUGUCCCAGGCAGAGCUCACCCCACUGUGGCAGCAGUCACGGUCCUUGGGGUGUCCUGAUUGCCUUGUCACCUGGCCUGACCUUUGCGGCAGCUUCCUUAAUGCCUUCAAUCUCCAAACUGCAUUUACUAAUAUUUGUUUUAAACUUGGAUGCCUGCCCUUGCUUACUGUCCACACCCCUGCAGGAAGAAUUCGCUUCCAUGUCCUCGAGAUUCCCUAAAUAUGUUUGUGUCCCAUUCCUGCUUUGUUAGAUGUGGCUGGUGGGCUCUGGUUUCUGGAGGCCCUGCUGACUUGCUAACUGAGAUUUUAUGAGGAUCCGAAGGAGCAAAGGCCUUCAGCACUGGGUGGUACGUGGCAGUUUGGUGUCCUAGGAAGGGCACAGGCUCGGGUCCAACCAGCCUUAGAGCCACCCCAGCACCAUGCUUCCAGCUGAGUGACUGGGUGGUUUCUCAGCCUCUCUGGACCUCAGUUUCCUUGUCUGUGAGUUGGGGCCACAGACUCUGCCUCGUGGAACAGUACGGUGCCGUCUGGAGGAGGCUCGGCGCCUGGCUCAUCACCCCCAUGCCUCCUCCCACACUAGCCCCAGGACCAAGAACACUGACAAAACUCACGAUUUAUUCUGUGAGUCAUUUAAAAAUUGUUAAUACCAACAUGACUGAAAUCAGAACUCUGUGCUUCAAUGUGUACAAAAUGGAAAAUUGGGAAAACUUUUGCUUUAAGACUGAAGCCCGGGAGGAUCAUAUGCCUUCAAUCAUCAGUGUGGCUAAAUGGGAGGAGAAAAAUCUGGAGGUUUAAUAAAACAUCUGAUCAGAGUCUUCUCUGGA